rnacentral:piRNA from 1 species
UCAAGAUGGAACUCUUUUGAACUGCAAGA